GCACCCCAACCGAAAGUGGAAGCAGCUUGCUGCGGAAGAUUUCAUCUGGGGUGACUGAGUGGCGGACGGGUGAGUAACGCGUGGGUAACCUGCCCCAUAGAGGGGGACAACAGUUGGAAACGACUGCUAAUACCGCAUAGUAAGGAACUGCCGCAUGACGGUUUCUUGAAAGAUUUAUCGCUAUGGGAUGGACCCGCGUCUGAUUAGCUAGUUGGUAAGGUAACGGCUUACCAAGGCAACGAUCAGUAGCCGGCUUGAGAGAGUGAACGGCCACAUUGGGACUGUGACACGGCCCAAACUCCUACGGGAGGCAGCAAUGGGGAAUAUUGCACAAUGGGGGAAACCCUGAUGCAGCGACGCCGCGUGAGUGAAGAAGUAUUUCGGUAUGUAAAGCUCUAUCAGCAGGGAAGAUAAUGACGGUACCUGACUAAGAAGCCCCGGCUAACUACGUGCCAGCAGCCGCGGUAAUACGUAGGGGGCAAGCGUUAUCCGGAUUUACUGGGUGUAAAGGGUGCGUAGGUGGCAGGGCAAGUCAGAUGUGAAAGCCCGGGGCUCAACCCCGGUAUUGCAUUUGAAACUGUCCGGCUGGAGUGCAGGAGAGGUAAGCGGAAUUCCUAGUGUAGCGGUGAAAUGCGUAGAUAUUAGGAGGAACACCAGUGGCGAAGGCGGCUUACUGGACUGUAACUGACACUGAGGCACGAAAGCGUGGGGAGCAAACGGGAUUAGAUACCCUGGUAGUCCACG
rnacentral:rRNA from 1 species